rnacentral:rRNA from 1 species
AUACGGAGGGUGCGAGCGUUAAUCGGAAUUACUGGGCGUAAAGCGCGCGUAGGCGGUUUGGUCAGUCGGAUGUGAAAUCCCCGGGCUUAACCUGGGAAUGGCGCUUGUGACUGGAAGGCUAGAGUGCGGCAGAGGGGGAUGGAAUUCCUGGUGUAGCAGUGAAAUGCGUAGAUAUCAGGAGGAACACCGAUGGCGAAGGCAGUCCCCUGGGUCGACACUGACGCUCAGGCACGAAAGCGUGGGGAGCAAACAGGAUUAGAAACCCCAGUAGUCC